rnacentral:rRNA from 1 species
GAUGAACGCUGGCGGCGUGCCUAAUACAUGCAAGUCGAGCGAACAGAUGAGGAGCUUGCUCCUCUGACGUUAGCGGCGGACGGGUGAGUAACACGUGGAUAACCUACCUAUAAGACUGGGAUAACUUCGGGAAACCGGAGCUAAUACCGGAUAAUAUAUUGAACCGCAUGGUUCAAUAGUGAGAGAUGGUUUUGCUGUCACUUAUAGAUGGAUCCGCGCCGCAUUAGCUAGUUGGUAAGGUAACGGCUUACCAAGGCAACGAUGCGUAGCCGACCUGAGAGGGUGAUCGGCCACACUGGAACUGAGACACGGUCCAGACUCCUACGGGAGGCAGCAGUAGGGAAUCUUCCGCAAUGGGCGAAAGCCUGACGGAGCAACGCCGCGUGAGUGAUGAAGGUCUUCGGAUCGUAAAACUCUGUUAUUAGGGAAGAACAAAUGUGUAAGUAACUAUGCACGUCUUGACGGUACCUAAUCAGAAAGCCACGGCUAACUACGUG